rnacentral:rRNA from 1 species
UACGGAGGGGGCUAGCGUUGUUCGGAAUUACUGGGCGUAAAGCGCGCGUAGGCGGACCUGCAAGUCGGGGGUGAAAGCCCGAGGCUCAACCUCGGAACUGCCUUCGAUACUGCGGGUCUCGAGUCUGGAGAGGUGAGUGGAAUUCCUAGUGUAGAGGUGAAAUUCGUAGAUAUUAGGAAGAACACCAGUGGCGAAGGACG